GUCCUUUAGAUAAAUAUAAUUUAAGGUCUAACCUGCCCAUUGACUUAGUUAAAAGGCCGCAGUAAUUUGACUGUGCAAAGGUAGCAUAAUCAUUAGUUUUUUAAUUAAAAGCUUGUAUGAAUGGUUGGACGAGAUAAAAUCUGUCUCUAAAUAAUUAAUAGAAUUUAAUUUUUAAGUUAAAAAGCUUAAAUUUAUUUAAAAGACGAGAAGACCCUAUAGAUCUUUAUAUAAUUAUUUUUAGUAUUAAUUAAGAAAAUUUUAUUUAUUAAUAAUAUUUAUAUUUUAUUGGGGUAAUAAGAAGAUUAAAAAAAUUCUUUUUAAUUAAACAAUAAUUAUUGAUUAUAUGAUCCAUUUUUAGUGAUUAUAAGAUUAAGUUACCUUAGGGAUAACAGCGUAAUUUUUUUAAAGAGUUCUUAUCAAUAAAAAAGUUUGCGA
rnacentral:rRNA from 1 species